GGCUUUCGACGAUCCCUCCUCAAUGCAUGGUAUAAAACGAACGCCACUGCGAUCAAUCCGGCAAUUAUGGCUCCAUGAUUAUGACGCUUCAUUA